GACGAACGCUGGCGGCGUGCUUAACACAUGCAAGUCGAACGGCAACGCCCUGCUUUUGUGCGGUGCUCGGGUGGCGAACGGGUGAGUAAUACGUGUGUAACCUGCUCUUCACUUUGGGAUAACUUCAGGAAACUGGGGCUAAUAUCGGAUUGGAAUUCCUCUUGCAUGGUGGGGGUUGGAUAGUUUCGGCGUUUGGGGAUGGAUGCGCGGCUUACUAGCUUGUUGGUGGGGUAGUUGCUUACCCAGGCUUUGACGGGUAGCCGACAUGAGUGGGUGACCGGCAACAAUGGGACUAGGGUACGGGCCAGACUGCUACAGGGGGCAGCAGUGGGAAAUCUUGCACAAUGGGCGGGAGCCUGAUGCAGCAACGCCGCGUGUGGGAAGACGGCGUUCGGGUGGUAAACCGCUAUGGCUUGAGACGAAGCGUGAGUGACGGUAAUGGGUAAAGAAGCACCGGCUAACUACGUG
rnacentral:rRNA from 1 species